rnacentral:rRNA from 1 species
UACGUAGGGUGCAAGCGUUGUCCGGAAUUAUUGGGCGUAAAGAGCUCGUAGGCGGUCUGUCGCGUCGGUCGUGAAAACUUGGGGCUUAACCCUGAGCUUGCGGUCGAUACGGGCAUGACUGGAGUUCGGUAGGGGAGAGUGGAAUUCCUGGUGUAGCGGUGAAAUGCGUAGAUAUCAGGAGGAACACCAAUAGCGAAGGCAGCUCGCUGGGACGGUACUGACGCUAAGGCGCGAAAGCGUGGGGAGCGAACAGG